UUGGAUUUCUGGCACGGGCGGCCGGUCGACCCAAGUGGUCCGCACUAGGCCUGCCCGGGUCAUACCUGCGAGGACGCUGUCUGUCAUUCAUUUGUCGGGCAGUCGACUCGCAACGUUUACUGUGAGAAAAUUAGAGUGUUUAAAGCAGGCGACUCGCCUUGAAUACUUAAGCAUGGAAUAAUGAGAUAGGACUCUGGUGCUAUUUUGUUGGUUUGCGCGCAGAGUAAUGAUCAACAGGGACAGUUGGGGGUAUUCAUAUUCGGUUGUCAGAGGUGAAAUUCUUAGAUUUACGGAAGAUGAACGGAUGCGAAAGCAUUUACCAAGGAUGUUUUCAUUGAUCAAGGACGAAGGUCAGGGUAGUCAAGAGGAUUAGAUACCCUCGUAGUCUUGACCAUAAACCAUGCCGACUAGGGAUUGGAGGAUGUCGUUUUUGACGCCUCCAGCACCUUAUGAGAAAUCAAAGUCUUUGGGUUCCGGGGGGAGUAUGGUCGCAAGGCUGAAACUUAAAGGAAUUGACGGAAGGGCACCACCAGGAGUGGAGCCUGCGGCUUAAUUUGACUCAACACGGGGAAACUUACCAGGUCCGGACAUAGUGAGGAUUGACAGAUUGAUAGCUCUUUCUUG
rnacentral:rRNA from 1 species